CACCAACUUGCUGGGCCUUGAGAAUUUCACCCCUCUGGAUUUUAGUCUCCUCAGCAUAAAAGUGCUGCCCUGAGAUGGCCAUGCAAGGAAGUCAGUCUACCCUACUGAAGAAUGAGAGAUCAUGUAGAGGAGAACAGAGGUGCCCGAGCCCACGGCCAGCAUCAACUGCCAGACAUUUCAACUGAAUGAUUCAUAAAUGCCUUCAAUUUAAAAUAGAAAACCCAUGGGCUUCCCUGGUGGCGCUGUGGUUAAGACUCCACCUGCCAACACAGGGGACAUGGGUUCGAUCCCAGGUCCGGGAAGAUCCCACAUGCUGCAGAGCAACUAAGCCCGUGCACCACAACUACUGAGCCUGCGCUCUAGAGCCCACGAGCCACAAUUACUGAGCCCACGUGCUACAACUACUGAAGCCUGAAUGCCUAGAGCCUGUGCUCCACAACAAGAGAAGCCACUGCAGUGAGAAGCCCGUGCACCGCAACGUAGAGUAGCCCCCGCUCACCGCAACUAGAGAAAGCCCACAUGCAGCAAUGAAGAUCCAACUCAGCCAAAAAUAAAUAAAUAAAUAAAUAAAAUUUAUUAAAGAAAAUAAAAAAUAAAUAAAUAAAAUA